UGCUGGCGUGGCAGUAGAACCGUUACCAUUACUAAAGUCAGUAAUGGUAACGGUUUCAUUGACACUCCAUGG
rnacentral:pre_miRNA from 1 species